rnacentral:rRNA from 1 species
CAGUCGCCACGGGAAUACCAGCACCUCGAGUGGUCAGGAGGUUUAUUGGGCCUAAAGCAUCCGUAGCCGGUUGCAUAAGUUUUCGGUUAAAUCUAUGCGCUUAACGUAUAGGCCGCCGAAAAUACUGUGCAGCUAGGGAGUGGGAGAGGUACACGGUACUCGAUAGGAAGGGGUAAAAUCCUUUGAUCUAUUGAUGACCACCUGUGGCGAAGGCGGUGUACCAGAACACGUUCGACGGUGAGGGAUGAAAGCUGGGGGAGCAAACCGGAUUAGAUACCCCAGUAGUCCCUGUCUCUUAUAC